rnacentral:rRNA from 1 species
AACGCGAAGAACCUUACCUACCCUUGACAUCCUACGAAGGUUGCAGAGAUGCGAUUGUGCCGAAAGGAACGUAGAGACAGGUGCUGCAUGGCUGUCGUCAGCUCGUGUUGUGAGAUGUUGGGUUAAGUCCCGUAACGAGCGCAACCCUUAUCUUUAGUUACCAACAUGUAAUGGUGGGGACUCUAAAGAGACUGCUGGUGAAGAACCGGAGGAAGGCGGGGACGACGUCAAGUCAUCAUGGCCUUUAUGGGUAGGGCCACACACGUGCUACAAUGGGGCGUACAGAGGGAAGCCAACUCGCGAGAGGGAGCCGAUCCCACAAAACGCCUCGUAGUCCGGAUUGGAGUCUGCAACUCGACUCCAUGAAGUUGGAAUCGCUAGUAAUCGCGAAUCAGAAUGUCGCGGUGAAUACGUUCCCGGGCCUUGUACACACCGACUGUAC